rfam:Schistosoma mattheei strain Denwood, Zambia genome assembly, scaffold: SMTD_scaffold0005717
AUUCAGUUGACGAGUCCCAACUAGGACAAAGUGGCGCGCUUCCUGAAU